UCUAGAGACUAUCUUAAUAUCAAACUAUUCCAUUCUUAAUACAUUGUUGAGGGUGGGGUGGGGGGACAUACGCGCUACAUGGAUAAAAAAAAACUCCCUAUUUUUUCUUGGUUUUUAGAAUCCUAGCUGUUUAGUUUCUGCUUAACUAGUUUGGAGAGAUAUUACCUGCGCACAGAAAUAUUUGGAUUUCUUUUUCAGCAUUAACUAUAGAAACACUUGACUCUCCUUUCGUUAUGUGGAGUGUUGGUUUAAUGAGUCCCAGUCCACUAAGUACACUUGAUUUUGGUGCUUUAACCUAGGUGUUUCUGAUAGAUUGGUCACUCACAGUGGUUCGAUCUUACGCAGGGAAGUGGGAUCUGCUUAACCAAGAGAACAGAGGGUUCAUUUGGGUUGAUAUGGCCAAAAGGAGUAAUGUAUGGAGGGUAGACAAUAGAUAGGUUCCAGAAGAACCCAGAUAUGGGAAUGAGGAACACAUUUGUGGAUAGUUUAUGGAUGAUGGAACAAGUCAGAAUUCCGAGGUGCCAGCCUUUCGUUUUUCAAGACAAUUAGAAGCCGUUUCAGGCAUUGACCUGAGUCAGCUGCGUAAUUUUUGUUUCAGAAUUAUGAGGGACAUUUAUGAGGGGCCUAUCGAGGAGGUGUUGACAAAUGGCACCUUGUGGUAUAAAAAGGAAAGGAACAACGAUACCCAGAAAUGUUGGAUUGUCACGAGGAUUCGUGUUCCAGGUGACUAACUGGAAGAAUCCAUCUCGCCCUUCACGCUGUGCGGCCUGCUUCCUGAAGAGAUGCCCACAGAGGACUGGAAGCCUGGCCUUGCGGGAGAGUUUGGAGUUAUUGCAAACAUGCUGUGAUUCUGCACAUCCACAACAACUCUUUGAAACACCAAAUCACAGGAUUAAUAUAGAUGGAUGAUGUAUUGGUAAAAAGGUCUUUGUAACCCUGUCUCUUUCUCAUCCUAUUUGCCUGUUCAACCAAUUUCCUUUGCUUUACUCUCACGUUUUCCUUCAGAAGUUCAUUUGCUUUAUUGCUUUUGAGGUACCUGUUUGACAUGAUAUGCUUCUCUUGAUUUUGCUCUUGCCCUAUUCCUCCAUUUGUUUUUGUCUAAAGCAAAGAAGCAUUUUUUUCUGUUUUAGGACCCCUUUUCCCAACUGACUAAUAGAAUUGAAGAAGUUUCUAAUCUCUGAUUUUCUUGGUUGAUGGUUAGGAGUAAUCAAGUAAAAAAAUUGUAGCAUU